GAAAAAUCAAUGCUCGACAUUCAAUGACAUGACUCAAUUUCUCGAGGGGAGAAUUCUAGUAUCUUAAAAACUACAUGAUUUUCAAGCCGUGCAAGGUAUCUAUGUUAUAUAUCACUCAGAUUCAACCAAGUCUACAGCAUAGAUUCGAGACAAGCAUAAUGAAUGAAUACAUAAUCUCUAUUUUCUAAUUUAGAUGUGACAGCUUGGCUAAGCUUAAAAAUUAAGUAAAAGUUACUCCUAAGUAAAAGCAACUCUAAUUUUCCUAUCAAAAUAAGUAACUUAUUUCCUACUUCAAUCAUUUAAAGAUUAACAUUCCUUAAUUCGGAUAAAAGUUGUUUGGCGGUCUCAAUCAUUCCAUUCCUCCCCAACAAAGUAUCAUGUCAUUGUUUGGUGUUUUUAGGCACUCCCCCAAUCCCGAAAAUCAUAGCCUCAAAAACUGAAGAAUGACUGAGCUACAAGAGAUCUUACGCCACUAUGCAUAAUACGAAACAGGUGACUUUUCUAGGGGCAUAUUCCAGUAGUGCAAAAGACAAGAGUGAGGUAUAUUCAACCUUGCUGGUAGUCGCAGUGCGAGAGUUUGAUUUCUGAAACAUGGAUUGAGACUCUUUGUGGGCACCAGUGUACAGGCAGUUCUUGUUCCCUGACUUGUUGGGGCACAUCCCGCGAUUAACCUCUCUCAUGAUGCUCCAGGGGCGGAGCGGUGGGGGAUCCUUAAAGUUGGGGUUCAACCUUUUUAAACAGAUGACUUUUCUACUUCACAGUAGCUAAUCUUUGGAAAAAGUAUUCUUUGCAGUCCAAUCAGUUUCUAAACAUAAUACAAUAAAUUAAAAGAAAAUCGCUUCAGAAAACCAAACUUCUUAUAAUACCAGCUUGAUAAUUUUUAGAGAAUUGAGAAAGGCUC
rnacentral:lncRNA from 1 species